GACGUAGGGCGCGAGCGUUGUCCGGAAUCAUUGGGCGUAAAGCGCGUGUAGGCGGUCCGGUAAGUCCGCUGUGAAAGUCGGGGGCUCAACCCUCGGAUGCCGGUGGAUACUGUCGGGCUUGAGUACGGAAGAGGCGAGUGGAAUUCCUGGUGUAGCGGUGAAAUGCGCAGAUAUCAGGAGGAACACCAAUUGCGAAGGCAGCUCGCUGGGACGUUACUGACGCUGAGACGCGAAAGCGUGGGGAGCAAACAGG
rnacentral:rRNA from 1 species